rnacentral:tRNA from 1 species
GGCUAGAGCAUCGCAUUUGGAAUGCGACGGGCGUCGCUUCGAAUCCGACAA